rnacentral:tRNA from 1 species
GCCGAAGUGGUGAAACUGGUAGACACGCACGUUUCAGGGGCGUGUGCCUUCGGGCGUGGGGGUUCGACUCCCCCCUUCGGCACCA